rnacentral:rRNA from 1 species
UACGGAGGAGGCAAGCGUUAUCCGGAAUUAUUGGGCGUAAAGCGUCCGCAGGUGGCACUUCAAGUCUGUCGUCAAAGACUGGGGCUUAACCCUGGAAAGGCGGUGGAAACUGAAGCGCUAGAGUGCGGUAGGGGUAGAGGGAAUUCCCGGUGUAGCGGUGAAAUGCGCAGAUAUCAGGAAGAACACCUAUGGCGAAGGCAGCACUCUGGGACGGUACUGACGCUGAGACGCGAAAGCGUGGGGAGCGAACAGG